rnacentral:rRNA from 1 species
UACGUAGGGUGCAAGCGUUGUCCGGAAUUAUUGGGCGUAAAGAGCUCGUAGGCGGUUUGUCGCGUCUGCUGUGAAAUCUCAAGGCUCAACCUUGAGCUUGCAGUGGGUACGGGCAGACUAGAGUGUGGUAGGGGAGACUGGAAUUCCUGGUGUAGCGGUGAAAUGCGCAGAUAUCAGGAGGAACACCGAUGGCGAAGGCAGGUCUCUGGGCCACUACUGACGCUGAGAAGCGAAAGCAUGGGGAGCGAACAGG